rnacentral:rRNA from 1 species
UACGUAGGGGGCAAGCGUUAUCCGGAAUUACUGGGUGUAAAGGGUGCGUAGACGGUGACAUAAGUCAGGUGUGAAAGCCCGAGGCUCAACCUCGGGACUGCACUUGAAACUGUGUGACUAGAGUACAGGAGAGGAAAGUGGAAUUCCUAGUGUAGCGGUGAAAUGCGUAGAUAUUAGGAGGAACACCAGUGGCGAAGGCGACUUUCUGGACUGUAACUGACGUUGAGGCACGAAAGCGUGGGGAG